CGAUGAAGCCCUUCGGGGUGGAUUAGUGGCGAACGGGUGAGUAACACGUGGGCAAUCUGCCCUUCACUCUGGGACAAGCCCUGGAAACGGGGUCUAAUACCGGAUACGAGUCUGGGAGGCAUCUCCCGGGCUGGAAAGCUCCGGCGGUGAAGGAUGAGCCCGCGGCCUAUCAGCUUGUUGGUGGGGUAAUGGCCUACCAAGGCGACGACGGGUAGCCGGCCUGAGAGGGCGACCGGCCACACUGGGACUGAGACACGGCCCAGACUCCUACGGGAGGCAGCAGUGGGGAAUAUUGCACAAUGGGCGAAAGCCUGAUGCAGCGACGCCGCGUGAGGGAUGACGGCCUUCGGGUUGUAAACCUCUUUCAGCAGGGAAGAAGCGAAAGUGACGGUACCUGCAGAAGAAGCGCCGGCUAACUACGUGCCAGCAGCCGCGGUAAUACGUAGGGCGCAAGCGUUGUCCGGAAUUAUUGGGCGUAAAGAGCUCGUAGGCGGCUUGUCACGUCGGGUGUGAAAGCCCGGGGCUUAACCCCGGGUCUGCAUCCGAUACGGGCAGGCUAGAGUGUGGUAGGGGAGAUCGGAAUUCCUGGUGUAGCGGUGAAAUGCGCAGAUAUCAGGAGGAACACCGGUGGCGAAGGCGGAUCUCUGGGCCAUUACUGACGCUGAGGAGCGAAAGCGUGGGGAGCGAACAGGAUUAGAUACCCUGGUAGUCCACGCCGUAAACGUUGGGAACUAGGUGUUGGCGACAUUCCACGUCGUCGGUGCCGCAGCUAACGCAUUAAGUUCCCCGCCU
rnacentral:rRNA from 1 species